ensembl:lncRNA
CAACAAUCUUCCCUGUGGUUUCUACUUCCUGGUGACAGCCUGUCCCACUGCCCUCCCAGGCUGUUUCUCUGCCCAAUUCUGCUAUUAAGGAAGGAAAAUCUUGAUGUGGCUCUGUGUUCUGCCCAGCAUAGUGGAGAUCCCAUUUGCACACAAAUGGUUUGCAAACUGUGGGCCCUCAUUUGCCGUGUUCGGCCUGGAAAUGAAGUUAUUGAUGGCUGUUUAUGAGAGAGACAAAGUGGAGCAGGGUUUGGAUCAAGAGACCAGAAGCCAGUCCAUCACCUGCUCCCUCGGUGACCUUGCUUCACCUCUUUAUGCUUCAGUUUCUCCAUCUGUUGGUAGAAAGAGUGAUACAUGAUACCUUGCUCUCAGUGUGUCAUGAACAUCUUUGUAAAGCACUGGGAGAGGCUAUAAGGAGCCUGAAAGACUCAUGCUUCCCUUUAGAUGGUUAAAUAAACCCCAACCCGAUGGUCUAACCAUUACAGAAAAUAUCUUUUUUAAACAAAAAGAUGAUCUUAUGCCCUGAAAAAGUAUUUGCAUUUCUUCACAUAUCAGUGAAAGGUGUUCCAUGAAACCCUCUUCAGUGGCUGGACCUCAGUUUUCAUUUGGAUAAUAGAUAAGCAUGAACACGUACGAGGAGCACGCAUGGCCGUUAUUCUUCCUACCAGGUUACUUUUCACCCGCGAACUGCAUUUCCUUACUAAUAAGAAAACUGAAAGCAGGAGAAGUGAGUGGAUUGCCAAGUCCACACGGAUAAUUAGGGGCAGAGUUGUGAAAAUAAUCUAAGUGUCUCGUCUCAAAAUCUGGUGCUUGUCCCUCUCAGCUUCAUUUUGGGUAAUCCUGAAGACUGAACUCUUGUCAACGUCUGUUCUUCUGAGUCUCUCUUCCUCCUUGCUGGUAUAGCAGGGCGGAGGGGGCUGUCUGCACACUCCUCGGGGGAACAGGGCCCUCUGAGGCCACACUCUCAUCCCGGAUGCUCUCCAGUAAGGGUUGCGGCAACGCAAGAACCCAGACACGUCUGUUUGCUUGUUAAGCUUGUUCCUCAUUGCAAGCCUGAAGAAAAACCUGCCAAAAAUCACAUUACUGAGUCACUGGGACCUCCAGAUUGCUCUAAGUGGAGAAGCCAGUCAAGCUGCACGAGUAAUAUUCAGGCUGAAAUAGCCGCAUCGUGAUUCUAUUACGGACAUGCGUUUGUUUUGUAUGGGCUUCUAAAGGGUAUCCAGGCUUAAGAAUCAAAAGGGAAAGCAUGGGCUGAACACCAAAAGAGCACUUUAAACUGGUAUUUCUUUUCCUGGGGGAAUUAAAUUGCCAAGAUCAUCAGAGACUGAUGCAGAAACACUGAAGAGCUACAGUUGAUGAGGCACCGACGCCUUUGUUUACACACAUUCAUUGAUGACCUCAGGUCUCCGCGUGCCCUUGGCCGACACAGGUUGCAAUGAUAAUUCCUUGCAAGGAAGAAUCCCCUGCCCGGUACCUCUCUGCAAAAAGAGUUCUACUGAGAUUUUUAAACAGAGAAACAAAGAAAUCUGCCAAGGGGAACCCCAACGUGACAGCUGCUGGCCAUCGUCUGACUGCUGAUGCUCAGACAGAAAGAAGGAACCCUCUCAAAGAUGCUGUUAUCUGCCCCACUUGAGCGGCUUCUGCUAGGGCCGGCAUCCCUGGGAAAUUGCUGUGUAAAAUGAGCAGCUCCUUUUCAACAGCAGACUCCCAGCUGCUCCCCACCUCCGAGGCUGCUGUUGGGCAUGACAGAGCAGCUGGCCCAGAUCGGCUUGGCUCUCUUGCUGCUGAGGGCCAUUAGGAGCGCGAGCUGGAAGGCACAGGUGGGCAGAAGCCAUGUGGGCUGCCGAGGUGGUAUGUCUGCCCUUCCACCUGCAUGGUCUUCCCCAGCUUUGGCUUGAUGGGGUGGGUGUUUGGACGGUUGGGUGUCCUUCCCAAGCCUAUCAAUCUUUCCUUUUUCCCCUGCAUCGUGCCAUGCACCUUCACCCACCCUAAAACCCUGGCUGCAUACAGAACACUGCUGCCAGCCCUUCCCCCAGGAGCGAGAAGGGCCAGAUCUGGCGCAGAGCCAGGCUCUGAAGAAACAGCAGAGGGCAGAGAGAGGAGGUAGGUGGGGCAGGGAGCCUUGUGUUACACAUUCAAAGCCUAAUUUUGGAUCAGAGUCAUACUUGUAGCCAAGCCUGAAAGAUCACUGAGGCCCCAAAAUGAACCCACAGCUCCGAGGCGGGGCAUGGGCAGAUCCUCGGCUCUCUUGCCCACACACUGCUCUCCUUACAGAGGUUAAGUUAGCCUUGUUUGGAUUUGCAGUGGUAUUUUCUUUAAAGCAACAUCAAGAGUCUUUUUGCCUCAUGCCGGCUGAGGCCAGUGCAGAUUUCCCGGCCCUGUCUCUCUAAACGUUCAAGAACUGUUGUCAGCUGAGAUGCUCACCAGAAGCCUGGGUUCCUCGUGCGAAUGCACCCUGAGGUGGGCCUAGGACACUCCCUCCUGCUUGAGAUGGCGCCAGCACAGACAAUAGGCCGGCAGGGCAAGGGCUGCUGCCUGUGACGGGGCAGGAACCUUCCUAUUAACCGUAGAAACCACUCUCUUUCGGACACGGGGGAAGAGGGGAGACCAGACGGGCGGGGGCCUCCGGGAGCCACACAAGAGAGAAGGGCUGCUCCCUCUUCUUCCGAGGGUGUGGGCACUUCCUUCGGAGAAUUGGCUGCUGCCAAGAGCAGGCUGCUGCCUCCCUGGAACUCGGGGUAUCAGGAUGCUUGUUUGCAGAGCUGGCCAGCUCGCAGCCCGGAGCAGCUGGUUGUAAUUAUGCAUUGCGGCUUCGGAGGAAGUUGCUGGCUGCCGAGCGUGUGCUGGGCCUGGCCGCACACUGGCUGCUGGGCUUAAGGGAACAAUGGAGAUAGAAGCCAGUGGCAGCAGGGGAAGGGGAGGAGCAGGACAAGGGUGAAGAAAGAAAGGGCCGAGCUGCUCCCUGUGCUGACUAUGGAGGAACCAGGUCUGUGCUCCCAGGACCCCUGCUCUUGUUCCCAGGGGUGCAAACAGUCCGUGCCCCUCUGUCAACAGCCCCCUGACUUUUUUUUUUUAAACUGUACCUGCUGAACACUGUCUUUAGAGAAGUGUGCCUGACUGACAAAGUGAAGAGCACUCCUCAGCCUGUUUAAUCUAAAUGGACUGCUUCUUCCUAGCAGCUGGCCACAGGGAAAAACAAAAGAAUUCACGAUGAAAAAGGCAGAUAUCUCCUGAUUAGAAAGUCCUUCGAAGUCCUUCGGUGGCCGUUCAACAUUUCAGUGCCUUGCUAAAUGCUGUGCCCAGAUGCCACUUCAGGUGGGAAAGCAAAAAAAGACAACUUUACAGAAGUGAAUUGUGGGUUAAUUAACAAGUUUUUUUUUUUUUCCUGUUUGGAGAAAAACUUAUUAAUGUCUAGUUUUUUAUACGUUGCAAGGUUUCUUCUGUAUUUUCUAAUUAGAACAUAGCAGGAAAGUGAACAUAGGGGGAAGGGGGUGGGAACGAGGGGUUGGGGGUCCAUCUUCCCUGCUGCUAUGUUUGGAAACUCCAGAACUCACACCAGCAGGGACCUUCUCUCACAUACAUAGCCAUUCUCCUGUCUCCUUCCUCCCUUCUGUGAGGAGGUCACCUGCCUCAUCCACAUGCCUUGGAGCGCCCAGCAAAGGAUUCAGAAUCCCAAGUUUUUGCCAGCUCAGGGAACAAAGUCAAGGCCCUGGAUCAGACAAGUGGACAGGCCUGCGAUUCCCGUGGCCUCUUGAUGACCCCUCUCCACUUGUAUAAACUCCUGAUUUAUGUCGCUUUGAAAGGGCGGGUAUCCUACCUGGUACUGGGCACCCGUGCUGUAUAAAAGUGACAGCCAUGCACAAUGACACAUUAUUGGCUUGGGCUGGUAAAUGAGGAGGCAAUCUCAUUACCUUUCCCCCUUGUCCAUUGC